rnacentral:rRNA from 1 species
GCAAGUCGAACGGUAACAUGAGAGCUUGCUCUUGAUGACGAGUGGCGCACGGGUGCGUAACGCGUAUGCAACCUACCUUUAACUGGAGAAUAGCCUUUAGAAAUGAAGAAUAAUACUCCAUAACAUUUUCUUAUGGCAUCAUAAGGAUCUUAAAGCUUCGGUGGUUAAAGAUGGGCAUGCGUUCUAUUAGUUUGUUGGUGAGGUAACGGCUCACCAAGACUUCGAUAGAUAGGGGGCCUGAGAGGGUUGUC